rnacentral:rRNA from 1 species
AUUGCACGCUGGCGGCAGGCCUAACACAUGCAAGUCGAGCGAGCGGCGGACGGGUGAGUAAUGUAUGGGGAUCUGCCCGAUGGAGGGGGAUAACUACUGGAAACGGUAGCUAAUACCGCAUACUAUCGGAUGACCCCAUAUGGGAUUAGCUAGUAGGUGGGGUAAAGGCUCACCUAGGCGACGAUCUCUAGCUGGUCUGAGAGGAUGAUCAGCCACACUGGAACUGAGACACGGACCAGACUCCUACGGGAGGCAGCAGUGGGGAAUAUUGCACAAUGGGCGCAAGCCUGAUGCAGCCAUGCCGCGUGUAUGAAGAAGGCCUUAGGGUUGUAAAGUACUUUCAGCGGGGAGGCGUUACUCGCAGAAGAAGCACCGGCUAACGCCGUGCCAGCAGCAGCGGUAAUAC